rnacentral:rRNA from 1 species
GACGAACGCUGGCGGCGUGCUUAACACAUGCAAGUCGAACGGGUCUGCCCUGUUUUUUGCGGGGUGGGUCAGUGGCGAACGGGUGAGUAACACGUGAGUAACCUGCCCCUCACUUCUGGAUAACCGCUUGAAAGGGUGGCUAAUACGGGGUGUUCUGGCUGUGCCGCAUGGUGUGGCUGGGAAAGAUUCACUUUUGUGGUGUUUUGGUGGGGGUUGGGCUCGCGGCCUAUCAGCUUGUUGGUGGGGUGAUGGCCUGCCAAGGCUUUGACGGGUAGCCGGCCUGAGAGGGUGGGCGGUCACACUGGGACGGAGAGACGGCCCAGACUCCUGCGGGAGGCAGCAGUGGGGGGUAGUGCACAAUGGGCGGAAGCCUGAUGCAGCGACGUCGCGUGAGGGAUGGAGGCCUUCGGGUUGUGAACCUCUUUCGCCGGUGAAGAAGGUCCUGCUCUUUGGGGUGGGGUUUACGGUAGCCGGGUUAUGAAGCGCCGGCUAACUACGUG